CCGCGCGCGAUCCGCGCCCCCUCCCUGCACCCAAGCGCGCGGCCACGAUGAAGCAGUAACUGGGGCCAGGGAGCGCGCGGAGCGCUCUGGGUCCCAACCAAGGCCUCCCGCCACACCCCUACCCCAACCCAGCUUCGCCAAGCUCUCCAAGACCCUCCCUUGGUCAGGAGGCACCGGGACCAAGGAAAAAAAGAGGCGGGAAAGGCAAUGUGGAAAGUUCCUUUGGGCUUCCCAGAGCUGGGAUUUAUUCAUCGCCUUGGACUAACUUAUUCAAGAUCAUACAGGAACGCAGCCCAAAACUGGGGAUAAGACUUUGGUGUUUGGGUACCUUAAAAUGUUCUCUUCAUUGCUCCCUAGAAAUUUUUCCGGAAGGGAAAUUGUGAUGGUCCUGUGACCUCAAAGCUGAGGGCACUCAUGACUGACUUGAGCCAAGCCAUAGUUGCAGAGGCCUAGGUCUAGUAGAUGGCCUUCCACUCCACCAUCUCUUUGUGGCCUCAGACAAUGCCCUUAAAGGUGGGGAACAAAAACAGCAGCUGGAGGAAGGCACGAGUGGACCACGUGGGUACUCUAGGGUCACCCUCUCUGGUGAGGUUUACAACUGCAAAGAUGUCCUGAUACACCCUGUCUCGUGCUUGCUGGAGAGCAGAGACCUUAUCAGUGAUUCAUGGGUUCCUUCAUUUCAAAGAUGAGGAAACUGAUACUAUUCAGAGGCAAAGUGACCCCAGAACUGAGCUGGAAGUCUUCCUUUCAUCUCUCCCUUUAGGAACUGAUGCCAAAAGCAGAAGGAACUUCUUUUCCAGCCUCCUGCCACUCACCUAUCUCCUGAUCACCUGGGGCAUAGGCCGUCCAGCUAUCCUUUCAGUCCUCUUCGAUUCGUACUUCCAGGACCCAUAUAGCUGGGAAUUGCAGCAUACAUCUUCCGUAAACAGAUCCCAGGAGCAGCCUUCAUUGUCUCUAGUUGGGUCUCAUCACAUACUCAUGGCUUGCCUGGAACUCCCUGUAUUGUAAAGCAAGUUAUCCUUGGACUCAGAGAUCUGCCUGCCUCUGUCUACUACCCAAGCGCUGUGAUCAAAGGCACGUACCAACAUGUGUGACGGAAUCCUCUGUGACAGGAAACCUAUAGUGCUAA